AUGCUGGAGGUAUCAGAAGUGCGAAUGCUGACAUAAGUAACGAUAAAGCGGGUGAAAAGCCCGCUCGCCGGAAGACCAAGGGUUCCUGUCCAACGUUAAUCGGGGCAGGGUGAGUCGACCCCUAAGGCGAGGCCGAAAGGCGUAGUCGAUGGGAAACAGGUUAAUAUUCCUGUACUUGGUGUUACUGCGAAGGGGGGACGGAGAAGGCUAUGUUGGCCGGGCGACGGUUGUCCCGGUUUAAGCGUGUAGGCUGGUUUUCCAGGCAAAUCCGGAAAAUCAAGGCUGAGGCGUGAUGACGAGGCACUACGGUGCUGAAGCAACAAAUGCCCUGCUUCCAGGAAAAGCCUCUAAGCAUCAGGUAACAUCAAAUCGUACCCCAAACCGACACAGGUGGUCAGGUAGAGAAUACCAAGGCGCUUGAGAGAACUCGGGUGAAGGAACUAGGCAAAAUGGUGCCGUAACUUCGGGAGAAGGCACGCUGAUAUGUAGGUGAAGUCCCUCGCGGAUGGAGCUGAAAUCAGUCGAAGAUACCAGCUGGCUGCAACUGUUUAUUAAAAACACAGCACUGUGCAAACACGAAAGUGGACGUAUACGGUGUGACGCCUGCCCGGUGCCGGAAGGUUAAUUGAUGGGGUUAGCCGCAAGGCGAAGCUCUUGAUCGAAGCCCCGGUAAACGGCGGCCGUAACUAUAACGGUCCUAAGGUAGCGAAAUUCCUUGUCGGGUAAGUUCCGACCUGCACGAAUGGCGUAAUGAUGGCCAGGCUGUCUCCACCCGAGACUCAGUGAAAUUGAACUCGCUGUGAAGAUGCAGUGUACCCGCGGCAAGACGGAAAGACCCCGUGAACCUUUACUAUAGCUUGACACUGAACAUUGAGCCUUGAUGUGUAGGAUAGGUGGGAGGCUUUGAAGUGUGGACGCCAGUCUGCAUGGAGCCGACCUUGAAAUACCACCCUUUAAUGUUUGAUGUUCUAACGUUGACCCGUAAUCCGGGUUGCGGACAGUGUCUGGUGGGUAGUUUGACUGGGGCGGUCUCCUCCUAAAGAGUAACGGAGGAGCACGAAGGUUGGCUAAUCCUGGUCGGACAUCAGGAGGUUAGUGCAAUGGCAUAAGCCAGCUUGACUGCGAGCGUGACGGCGCGAGCAGGUGCGAAAGCAGGUCAUAGUGAUCCGGUGGUUCUGAAUGGAAGGGCCAUCGCUCAACGGAUAAAAGGUACUCCGGGGAUAACAGGCUGAUACCGCCCAAGAGUUCAUAUCGACGGCGGUGUUUGGCACCUCGAUGUCGGCUCAUCACAUCCUGGGGCUGAAGUAGGUCCCAAGGGUAUGGCUGUUCGCCAUUUAAAGUGGUACGCGAGCUGGGUUUAGAACGUCGUGAGACAGUUCGGUCCCUAUCUGCCGUGGGCGCUGGAGAACUGAGGGGGGCUGCUCCUAGUACGAGAGGACCGGAGUGGACGCAUCACUGGUGUUCGGGUUGUCAUGCCAAUGGCACUGCCCGGUAGCUAAAUGCGGAAGAGAUAAGUGCUGAAAGCAUCUAAGCACGAAACUUGCCCCGAGAUGAGUUCUCCCUGAC
rnacentral:rRNA from 1 species